rnacentral:rRNA from 1 species
UGAGGAAUAUUGGUCAAUGGACGCAAGUCUGAACCAGCCAAGUAGCGUGCAGGAUGACGGCCCUAUGGGUUGUAAACUGCUUUUAUAUGGGGAUAAAGUGGGGAACGUGUUCCCUUUUGCAGGUACCAUAUGAAUAAGGACCGGCUAAUUCCGUGCCAGCAGCCGCGGUAAUACGGAAGGUUCGGGCGUUAUCCGGAUUUAUUGGGUUUAAAGGGAGCGUAGGCCGUUUGGUAAGCGUGUUGUGAAAUGUAGGAGCUCAACUUCUAGAUUGCAGCGUGAACUGGCAGACUUGAGUGCGCACAACGUAGGCGGAAUUCAUGGUGUAGCGGUGAAAUGCUUAGAUGUCAUGAAGAUCUCCGAUUGCGAAGGCAGCGUACGGGAGCGCAACUGACGCUGAAGCUCGAAGGUGCGGGUAUCGAACAGG